rnacentral:ncRNA from 1 species
AUGGUUCUGCCACCGGGUAGAAAAAGCGAAAGCAUUCGUUACACAUCAUUAGGUCUUAGAAGAUGUGUAUACGGGUGCUUGUUUUUAU